rnacentral:SRP_RNA from 1 species
GCCAGGCGUGGUGGUGCAUGCUUGUAGUCCCAGCUACUCGGGAGGCUGAGGCAAGAGAAUUGCUUGAGCCUGGGAGGCAUAGGUUGCAGUGAGCUGAGAUCACGCCACUGCACUCCAGCCCAGGUAACAGAGUGAGACCCUGUCUCGA